rnacentral:rRNA from 1 species
CAUGACAGUCGACGAUGAAGCCCAGCUUGCUGGGUGGAUUAGUGGCGAACGGGUGAGUAACACGUGAGUAACCUGCCCUUGACUCUGGGAUAAGCGUUGGAAACGACGUCUAAUACCGGAUACGAGCUUCCACCGCAUGGUGAGUUGCUGGAAAGAAUUUUGGUCAAGGAUGGACUCGCGGCCUAUCAGCUUGUUGGUGAGGUAACGGCUCACCAAGGCGACGACGGGUAGCCGGCCUGAGAGGGUGACCGGCCACACUGGGACUGAGACACGGCCCAGACUCCUACGGGAGGCAGCAGUGGGGAAUAUUGCACAAUGGGCGAAAGCCUGAUGCAGCAACGCCGCGUGAGGGACGACGGCCUUCGGGUUGUAAACCUCUUUUAGCAGGGAAGAAGCGAAAGUGACGGUACCUGCAGAAAAAGCACCGGCUAACUACGUGCCAGCAGCCGCGGUAAUACGUAGGGUGCAAGCGUUGUCCGGAAUUAUUGGGCGUAAAGAGCUCGUAGGCGGUUUGUCGCGUCUGCUGUGAAAUCCCGAGGCUCAACCUCGGGUCUGCAGUGGGUACGGGCAGACUAGAGUGCGGUAGGGGAGAUUGGAAUUCCUGGUGUAGCGGUGGAAUGCGCAGAUAUCAGGAGGAACACCGAUGGCGAAGGCAGAUCUCUGGGCCGCUACUGACGCUGAGGAGCGAAAGGGUGGGGAGCAAACAGGCUUAGAUACCCUGGUAGUCCACCCCGUAAACGUUGGGCGCUAGAUGUGGGGACCAUUCCACGGUUUCCGUGUCGUAGCUAACGCAUUAAGCGCCCCGCCUGGGGAGUACGGCCGCAAGGCUAAAACUCAAAGGAAUUGACGGGGGCCCGCACAAGCGGCGGAGCAUGCGGAUUAAUUCGAUGCAACGCGAAGAACCUUACCAAGGCUUGACAUAUACGAGAACGGGCCAGAAAUGGUCAACUCUUUGGACACUCGUAAACAGGUGGUGCAUGGUUGUCGUCAGCUCGUGUCGUGAGAUGUUGGGUUAAGUCCCGCAACGAGCGCAACCCUCGUUCUAUGUUGCCAGCACGUAAUGGUGGGAACUCAUGGGAUACUGCCGGGGUCAACUCGGAGGAAGGUGGGGACGACGUCAAAUCAUCAUGCCCCUUAUGUCUUGGGCUUCACGCAUGCUACAAUGGCCAGUACAAAGGGCUGCAAUACCGUAAGGUGGAGCGAAUCCCAAAAAGCUGGUCCCAGUUCGGAUUGAGGUCUGCAACUCGACCUCAUGAAGUCGGAGUCGCUAGUAAUCGCAGAUCAGCAACGCUGCGGUGAAUACGUUCCCGGGCCUUGUACACACCGCCCGUCAAGUCAUGAAAGUCGGUAACACCCGAAGCCAGUGGCCUAACCGCAAGGAUGUAUG